GACGAACGCUGGCGGCGUGCUUAACACAUGCAAGUCGAACGGUGAAGCGCCUUCCUUUUUGGUGGGUGUGGAUGAGUGGCGAACGGGUGAGUAACACGUGGGUAACCUGCCCCCUUCUUCUGGUUAACCGCAUGAAAGUGUGGCUAAUACGGGUUAUUCUGGGUCUGUCGCAUGAUGGGUCUGGGAAAGAUAUUGUUUCGGUGGGGGAUGGGCUCGCGGCCUAUCAGCUUGUUGGUGGGGUGAUGGCCUACCAAGGCGGUGACGGGUAGCCGGCCUGAGAGGGUGGACGGUCACACUGGGACUGAGACACGGCCCAGACUCCUACGGGAGGCAGCAGUGGGGAAUAUUGCACAAUGGGCGCAAGCCUGAUGCAGCGACGCCGCGUGAGGGAUGGAGGCCUUCGGGUUGUGAACCUCUUUCGCCAGUGAAGCAGGCCUGCCUCGUUUGUGGGUGGGUUGACGGUAGCUGGAUAAGAAGCGCCGGCUAACUACGUG
rnacentral:rRNA from 1 species